UACGAAGGGGGCUAGCGUUGCUCGGAAUUACUGGGCGUAAAGCGCGCGUAGGCGGCUUUGCGAGUCGAGUGUGAAAUCCCCAGGCUUAACCUGGGAACUGCAUUCGAGACUGCAUAGCUAGAGUAUGGGAGAGGGAAGUGGAAUUUCAGGUGUAGCGGUGAAAUGCGUAGAUAUCUGAAGGAACAUCAGUGGCGAAAGCGACUUCCUGGACCAAUACUGACGCUCAUGUGCGAAAGCGUGGGGAGCAAACAGG
rnacentral:rRNA from 1 species